UAGCUCAGUCGGUAGAGCAGUUGGCUUUUAACCAAUUGGUCGUAGGUUCGAAUCCU
rnacentral:tRNA from 1 species